rnacentral:lncRNA from 1 species
UUCGGGGAGUUACAGGCAGUAAGCCGACUCUGCCUGAGGUGCUGCAUAGGCUUCUGAUGAGAGGAAAUCACAACCUGGCACCUACUGGCGCAACUAACCCAGGACUCAGUUUCCUCAACUACGACAUGAUAACAGUCCUACCUUGCUGGUUUGCAGUGAUGCGGGGAAACGAUAUUUGUAAAGUGCUUGCCCCAUUCUGGCACCAGAUACUGCUGUUUUGAAGGUUCCUGCCCCCAGAGUCUAAUAAUGAACAAAAUGACACCUUCCCCCUUUGCAUCUUUGGAAUUGCCUUAGAGAAAGGGAAUAGGAGAAGGGAUUCAUAGAAGCAACUGUGAUCCCUCCUAGCACUCCUGCCUCAGGCCAUUUUGCUCUGGACUUUGCAAAGGAGCUCUGAAAAGGCAGCAUUGAUGUCUUCUUUGGGUCCCCAAGACUUGACCCUGGAGAUGCUGGGCAGUAUGGAGAAAUUACACAAGGUUGGCCAAGGCAAUAGGUCUAGCCCAUGGUCCCAUGCCUCUUGAUAAGGGCAAUAACUCCUGUACUCACAACUAGAACCUUGCCCCAUUUGUAUUCCUAGAGACUGAGCUAGGUGCUAAUUUUCCGUACAGAACUUUCUUCACCUUCCCAAAGCUGCUGACUCAGAAGUAAACAGUUCUUUCAGGUGUGUCAUUCCCUUCAGCGUGGCUCUCCUUCUAGGGCAGCACCUAGUUGCAGUGAUGCGGUGUUGAGAGCCACAGCCGAGUUGGGAUGGCGCCUAGCAUUUUGCCAGAAGGAGUGACGCC